rnacentral:rRNA from 1 species
CAGUCGCCACGGUAAUACGGAGGGUGCAAGCGUUAAUCGGAAUUGCUGGGCGUAAAGCGCACGCAGGCGGUUUGUUAAGUCAGAUGUGAAAUCCCCGAGCUUAACUUGGGAACUGCAUUUGAAACUGGCAAGCUAGAGUCUUGUAGGGGGGGGUAGAAUUCCAGGUGUAGCGGUGAAAUGCGUAGAGAUCUGGAGGAAUACCGGUGGCGAAGGCGGCCCCCUGGACAAAGACUGACGCUCAGGUGCGAGAGCGUGGGGAGCAAACAGGAUUAGAUACCCCGGUAGUCCCUGUCUCUUAUAC